rnacentral:rRNA from 1 species
UACAUGGUGGCGAGUGGCGCACGGGUGCGUAACACGUAUGUAACCUACCUCUAACAGUGGCAUAACAAUGAGAAAUUAUUGCUAAUUCCGCAUGUGGUUAAUUUGAGGCAUCUUAGAUUAACUAAAGAUUUAUCGGUUAGAGCUGGGCAUGCGUCCCAUUAGCUAGUUGGUGAGGUAACGGCUCACCAAGGCCUCGAUGGGUAGGGGCUCUGAGAGGAUUGUCCCCCACACUGGUACUGAGACACGGACCAGACUCCUACGGGAGGCAGCAGUAAGGAAUAUUGGGCAAUGGACGCAAGUCUGACCCAGCCAUGCCGCGUGAAGGAAGACGGCCCUAUGGGUUGUAAACUUCUUUUCUCAGGGGGUAAACUCCGGAACGUGUUCCGGACUGAAAGUACCUGAGGAAUAAGCAUCGGCUAACUCCGUGCCAGCAGCCGCGGUAAUACGGAGGAUGCGAGCGUUAUCCGGAUUCAUUGGGUUUAAAGGGUGCGCAGGCGGAUAUAUAAGUCGGAGGUGAAAUUCUGAUGCUCAACAUCAGCCGUGCCUUCGAUACUGUAUAUCUAGAGUCAAGUUGGAGUAGGCGGAAUGUGUUGUGUAGCGGUGAAAUGCUUAGAUAUAACACAGAACACCGAUCGCGAAGGCAGCUUACUAAACUUUGACUGACGCUCAUGCACGAAAGCGUGGGGAUCAAACAGGAUUAGAUACCCUGGUAGUCCACGCUGUAAACGAUGAUUACUCGCUGUUGGCGAUACACAGUCAGUGGCUAAGCGAAAGUGAUAAGUAAUCCACCUGGGGAGUACGACGGCAACGUUGAAACUCAAAGGAAUUGACGGGGGCCCGCACAAGCGGAGGAGCAUGUGGUUUAAUUCGAUGAUACGCGAGGAACCUUACCAGGGCUAGAACGCAAGUUGAUUAUGUGCGAAAGUAUAUAUCUCUUCGGAGCAAUUUGCGAGGUGCUGCAUGGUUGUCGUCAGCUCGUGCCGUGAGGUGUCAGGUUAAG